rnacentral:lncRNA from 1 species
CUCUAACCAACACAGUGGAAUAAUGUCAGCAAUAUUUUCUUAAGUGAAAUGAGAGAAUUUUGAACUACCGAAGAUAGAGAUAUUAGACCAGUGGCUUUCCAUGAUAUAUAUCUCCUCCAUGUGAGAGCGUUUUUUAUUAGCCUCGUAUUUUUUUACUCUUCUUUCUCCCCUUUUUCAUUCCUCUCCUCCUCAAAUUAAACUAAAAAGAAGCAGAAACAGGAGCAGAAGUAAAGCAAUUGCUUCAUUUUGCCCAGCCUGUAUCUUUAUAUUCAAAUACAACAGCAGAACCCUAGCUCUGGUCACCAUGAUGACCACCUCGUCUCAAAGAUGACCAGGAUGGGGUCCUUGGCUUUGCUUGCUCCAGAGACUGCUGAACUUGGCGCUCUUUCAGAGGUGGCUUGGGCUAAGAAAUGUCCAGUCGUCUUUGAAGAGCUAUCUCCCCCUUAUUCAGUUUAGCCUACUACUCAGCUGAAGUCUAUUC